rnacentral:rRNA from 1 species
UAGGGAAUCUUCCGCAAUGGGCGAAAGCCUGACGGAGCAACGCCGCGUGAGUGAAGAAGGAUUUCGGUUCGUAAAGCUCUGUUGCUAGGGAAGAAUGAUUGUGUAGUAACUAUACACAGUAGAGACGGUACCUAACCAGAAAGCCACGGCUAACUACGUGCCAGCAGCCGCGGUAAUACGUAGGUGGCAAGCGUUGUCCGGAAUUAUUGGGCGUAAAGCGCGCGCAGGUGGUUUAAUAAGUCUGAUGUGAAAGCCCACGGCUCAACCGUGGAGGGUCAUUGGAAACUGUUAAACUUGAGUGCAGGAGAGAAAAGUGGAAUUCCUAGUGUAGCGGUGAAAUGCGUAGAGAUUAGGAGGAACACCAGUGGCGAAGGCGGCUUUUUGGCCUGUAACUGACACUGAGGCGCGAAAGCGUGGGGAGCAAACAGGAUUAGAUACCCUGGUAGUCCACGCCGUAAACGAUGAGUGCUAAGUGUUGGUCUCAUAAGAGAUCAGUGCUGCAGCUAACGCAUUAAGCACUCCGCCUGGGGAGUACGACCGCAAGGUUG